UAGGGAAUCUUCCGCAAUGGACGCAAGUCUGACGGAGCAACGCCGCGUGAGUGAAGAAGGAUUUCGGUUCGUAAAACUCUGUUGUUAGAGAAGAACAGCGCAUAGAGUAACUGUUAUGCGUGUGACGGUAUCUAACCAGAAAGCCACGGCUAACUACGUGCCAGCAGCCGCGGUAAUACGUAGGUGGCAAGCGUUGUCCGGAUUUAUUGGGCGUAAAGCGAGCGCAGGCGGUCAAUUAAGUCUGAUGUGAAAGCCCCCGGCUCAACCGGGGAGGGUCAUUGGAAACUGGUUGACUUUAGUGCAGAAGAGGAGAGUGGAAUUCCAUGUGUAGCAGUGAAAUGCGUAGAUAUAUGGAGGAACACCAGUGGCGAAGGCGACUCUCUGGUCUGUAACUGACGCUGAUGCUCGAAAGCGUGGGUAGCAAACAGG
rnacentral:rRNA from 1 species